rnacentral:rRNA from 1 species
AUACGGAGGAUGCGAGCGUUAUCCGGAUUUAUUGGGUUUAAAGGGAGCGUAGGUGGGAUAUUAAGUCAGCUGUGAAAGUUUGGGGCUCAACCUUAAAAUUGCAGUUGAUACUGGUUUCCUUGAGUACGGUACAGGUGGGCGGAAUUCGCGGUGUAGCGGUGAAAUGCUUAGAUAUCACGAAGAACUCCGAUCGCGAAGGCAGCUCACCGGGCCGGAACUGACACUGAUGCUCGAAAGUGCGGGUAUCAAACAGGAUUAGAUACCCUGGUAGUCCGCACAGUAAACGAUGAAUACUCGCUGUUUGCGAUACACUGUAAGCGGCCAAGCGAAAGCGUUAAGUAUUCCACCUGGGGAGUACGCCGGCAACGGUGAAACUCAAAGGAAUUGGCGGGG